AUGAGUCGAAGUACGAAGGCGUUUGUGGUUCUCUCCCUCGCCCUUUACCAAACGCACCGUUUUCUCUUUUCUUUCCAAAGGCACUCUCUCUGAACCGUGAAAUCGUAAUAGCAUUCGCACCAAAAUAGAAGAGAUAGAAUGGGGACGAGGACGAAUUUCUACAAGAAUCCUUCAAUCUCUUACAAAAAGGACUUCAGUCUCUCUUCUGUUCUUCAAAAUCUCCAAGCUUAUAACGUCGCAACUGGGAGUGCCCUUGUGACCCAAGAGCAACAAUACCGUGAUGAAGGGAAUGAUAGACGCGGCUGCAAAAAGGCUGGUCAGAAACGCUGCUCGACGGAAAAUCCACGGUCUUAUAAGCGUGGUGAAGUCGAAGAGCAUGAUGGACCGAUGACUCACCAGGAUUACAUAGAUAAGAGAAGGAAGGAAGUGAGGUCAUCUCAUCCUUACGAACCAUUAACUGCUGAUGUUUUGGGAACUUCUAGUUCGGUUUUAAAUUUGUUAAACUAUGGAAGCGAUGAAAGUGCUUCAGAAUCUGAUGAGGAGGGCACCCAACAUUCUGGCCUCACAAAUGAAGUUGAAGAGAUCAAGACUAGAAGUGAGCAACGGUUUCCUGCCCCAGCAGAACCUGUUUGUGUGGUAUGUGGAAAAUAUGGAGAAUAUAUAUGCAAUGAGACUGAUGAUGAUAUCUGCAGUCUAGAAUGCAAAGCUGAACUUUUACAAAGGCUUAAACCUGCUAAGCGUGAGUUAAGCAACCAAAAGCUAGAUCAUCCUUCUUCUGGACCUAAAUGUACGUCAUCAAUGCCUGAGCUUGGGGAGGACACUUGGGAUUAUAACCACAAUUGCUGGUCCAAGAAGAGAUCUAAUCUUUGUACUUACAAGUGUUGGAAAUGCCAGAGGCCUGGUCACCUUGCAGAAGAUUGUUUGGUGACAACAUGUAACCAGGUGUCAGAAGGGCAGAACAAGAAUCCAAUAUGCAAAGAUCUUCUUGGACUUUACAGAAGAUGUCAUCAGAUAGGUAAAAAUUUGUCAGCAGCAAACUGCAAUGUAUGCCGCAGUUCUUUAAGUUUGGCAACAUGCCUUCAUUGUAGUGCAGUCCUUUGUGACAAUGCUGGUCAUUUGGAUGAGCAUAUAAGGACACAUCCAAGCCAUCAGCAAUAUUACUCUCAUAAACUUAAACGUUUGGUGAAAUGCUGCAAAUCAACAUGCAGGGUGACCAACAUCAGGGAACUUAUGGCUUGCCAUUACUGUUUUGAUAAAGCUUUUGACAAGUUCUAUGAUAUGCAUACUGCAACUUGGAAAGGAGCUGGAUUAUCAAUGAUCUGGGGUUCUGUUUGCUGUGAAGAUCACUUUGAAUGGCAUAGGAUGAAUUGCUUGAAUGUUGACAUAGAGGAUGGAGCAUAUAUCGUUAAUAAGAAUGCAGAGAAUAACAAACAUAUUCAGCUUAAUGACUUCAUUUUCUGAUAGGGUGCUCGAGGGCAAACUAUUACCUUACAAAUUACAAUAGCCUCCCUAUUUAUGCCAGGCAUCAGUAUGCCCCAGCUAUUGAGGAUUGCAGCUGAAUGUUUGCUUUCUUCCCAUAUUGAUAAUUCCAACAGCAAAAUCGGCUGUUAUCUGGACAAAUUCAGAUAUAGCUGUAGAAGAUGCAUUGUGUGUGUGUGUUUCUUCUACUUCACAUCAAUCACAGAGUAGCAGUGCUCCAUGCUAAGCUUAUUUAGAAACUCCAUAGAUUUUGUUUAUAUAUACUUUUGUGGGUUCCCAUUGGCAGCAAAGCGAUGUUGAUUCAAGUUUCCGUUUGGGAAGAAUUAUUAAAAAGUAAUGUGAAUUUUGAUUGAAUUUUAUUACUUAAAACUGUUUCGAUUUA